rnacentral:rRNA from 1 species
CGCAGCCGCGGUAAUUCCAGCUCCAAUAGCGUAUAUUAAAGUUGUUGCAGUUAAAAAGCUCGUAGUUGAAUUUCGGGACCAAUCUGCCGGUCGUGCCUCCGGUACGCACUGGUUUUAUUGGUUUCUCCCUUCUGACGAACCAUGAUGUCAUUAAUUUGGUGUCAUGGGGAAUCAGGACUGUUACUUUGAAAAAAUUUAGAGUGUUUAUAGCAGGCUCACGCUUGAAUACAUUAGCAUGGAAUAAUGAAAUAGGACGUUUGAUUCUAUUUUGUUGGUUUCUAGGAUCGACGUAAUGAUUAAUAGGGAUAGUUGGGGGCAUUAGUAUUCAAUUGUCAGAGGUGAAAUUCUUGGAUUUAUUGAAGACUAACUACUGCGAAAGCAUUUGCCAAGGAUGUUUUCAUUAAUCAAGAACGAAAGUUAGGGGAUCGAAGACGAUCAGAUACCGUCGUAGUCUUAACUAUAAACUAUGCCGACUAGGGAUCGGAUGAUGUUAAUUUUUUUAAUGACUCAUUCGUCGCCU